UCCUGGCUAGGGUACCUAGAGUGCCUCCUUCAUCAUAUAUACAUGCUAAAUGGCUGCCACAUACAAAUCAGAGUUCUGCAUGCUUCACCCCACCCCACAAUGAAAGUCUUCAACACUCACGGCCACCUUGUGAGACAGUUUCACUCCAUCAUCCAGGCUGGAAUGCAUUGGCACAACCUCCACCUCCCAGGUUCAAGCAAUUCUCAUGCCUCAGCCUCCCCAUUAGCUGUGGCUACAGUUUCACUCUUGCUGCCCAGGCUGGAGUGCAAUAGCGUGAUCUCGGCUCACCACAACCUCCACCUCCUGGGUUCAAGCGACUCCCCUGCCUCAGCCUCCAAACUUCCGACCUCAAGUGAUCCGCCAGCCUCAGCCUCCCAAAGUGCUGGGAUUACAGGCGUAAGCCACUGCGCCUAGGCGCAAGUUUCGGUUUUUUGUUUUUUAAAUGUAAACAAUAAAAUAGAAGACAGUAUU